CUAGCGACUUCAGAGUUUGAUCCUGGCUCAGGAGAAACGCUGGCGGCGUGCAUAACACAUUCAAGUCGAACGGGAAUCUUUUAACGGAGACUUCGGUCAAAGUUGAGAGAGGAUAGUGGCGGACGGGUGAGUAACGCGUGAGCAACCUGCCUUAGUGAGGGGGAUAACACAGGGAAACUUGUGCUAAUACCGCAUGACGCAUACUGAUUGCAUGUUUGGUAUGUUAAAGGAGUAAUCCGCAUUAAGAUGGGCUCGCGUCUGAUUAGAUAGUUGGUGGGGUAACGGCCUACCAAGUCGACGAUCAGUAGCCGGACUGAGAGGUUGAACGGCCACAUUGGAACUGAGAAACGGUCCAG
rnacentral:rRNA from 1 species